ACAUCUGUGUUUGACACUUCACUGAGUUCACUGCACUGAUGCACAGCACUGAUGAUUCCAACAUUUCCAACUGAUUCACUGAUAUUCUCUUCUCAAAUAGUUCCCAGAGUUGAAACCACGAAAGUAUAUAAGGGUUUGAAAAGUUUCGGAUCCUUCAAGAGCUCGUCCAACGACUCUGGUACACGUUCACAAAUAGAUUGAAGGUCGUCGAUCAUGACCAGUCUCUGAACUCCAAAACUUCUACAUUUCAAGAUUAUGUGUUCCAAAUCAGCAAGCUCUUCAUUGCAAUAUGUACAUUCAGGGCUCGGAAUCAAGUUGAGCCUCUUCAGGUCUUGACUGAUUGCGGCUUGAUAGUCAGUGUGAGGUAACUUCAACAACGUAGAAUGGU